rnacentral:rRNA from 1 species
GAUGAACGCGGGCGGCGUGCUUAACACAUGCAAGUCGAGCGAGAAGUUUUGAAAAGAUUCUUCGGAUGAAAUUUAAAAUGGAAAGCGGCGGACGGGUGAGUAACGCGUAGGCAACCUGCCCCAUACAAAGGGAUAGCAUUUGGAAACGAAUAUUAAUACCUUAUGAAACUUAACUAGUGCAUGCUAGGUAGGUCAAAGAUUUAUCGGUAUGGGAUGGGCCUGCGUCUGAUUAGCUAGUUGGUGAGGUAACGGCUCACCAAGGCGACGAUCAGUAGCCGACCUGAGAGGGUGAACGGCCACAUUGGAACUGAGACACGGUCCAAACUCCUACGGGAGGCAGCAGUGGGGAAUAUUGCACAAUGGGGGAAACCCUGAUGCAGCAACGCCGCGUGAACGAUGAAGGCCUUUGGGUCGUAAAGUUCUGUUCUAGGUGAUGAAAACUGACAGUAACCUAGGAGAAAGCCCCGGCUAACUCCGUGCCAGCAGCCGCGGUAAUACGGAGGGGGCAAGCGUUAUCCGGAAUUAUUGGGCGUAAAGGGUACGUAGGUGGCCUUUUAAGCGUAGGGUAUAAGGCAAUGGCUCAACCAUUGUUCGCCCUAUGAACUGGAAGGCUUGAGUGCAGGAGAGGAAAGCGGAAUUCCUAGUGUAGCGGUGGAAUGCAUAGAUAUUAGGAGGAACAUCAGCGGCGAAGGCGGCUUUCUGGACUGCAACUGACACUGAGGUACGAAAGCGUGGGGAGCAAACAGG